UCUCUGGCGCUGUGAGGCAGCAGUGCUAACCACUGUGCCACCGUGCCGUCCUUCUGUAUGUUUGUAUCAAUCUUGCUUUUAGAUUGGAUGAGAUGAUCAAUAUUGAAUUAUUGAUAAAAAGCUCAAAAUCAAUAAAGCAGUACAGUAUCCAUCAAAUCCCACAACACUAAUACCAGAACUGGUAACUUGAAACUCAAGUUACUAUUUUAUGAUCAUUUGAUCAGCACAGCUUGAGCAGAAUCAUCUGCUGUUUGAUUUGCCAGAUAAUAUCUUAUCCCUCACCCUCGCCAACUUCAGUGCUAAAAGCUUUUUAAUGUUUUGGCACUUUUUUUUGAGACCAGAUGAUCUGUACCAGAAUGUACUGAAGGAAUACAGCAGGCAAGGAUGUCCCGAGGCAUGGUAUAUGGGUGAGUCCAUGCAGAUGCUACAAAGACGGAUGACUGGACACCACGCAACAAUUGCCAGACAAGAGAUUUCCCUUCCACUUGAGGAACACUUCAGUAGUCAAGGACAUUCAGCCUCCGGCCUUUGGGGGAAACAAUGGCACUUUAAAAAGGAGGAAAACAGACAAAGCCAGUGACCACACAGUCGGAGAAAGAAUCCUAUACUGCUGUCUGACACAGCAGUGAAUCUGCACAAUUACUGCCUUUGCUGUUUGACUUCAAAUAUCUCUGGACAACAGAGUGUAUCUAGGAAAAAUCAACAAACAGUGAAAUUCAUAGCUGACCUUGGAGAAAUCUGUAUAGGAAAGCUCACAGCACAGGAAAAGAUAAGUACAUAGUUUCUAAAUGAAACCUUGCUGUAAAUCUACAGUACUGAGUGGGUUCUUUCUAGAUAAGACGUUUAAUUGAAAUCUGUCUCUUGUUUUCAGACACAACCACCUGAUGAAGGAGCAGCACUCU